rnacentral:rRNA from 1 species
AGUGAACGCUGGCGGUAGGCCUAACACAUGCAAGUCGAACGGCAGCACAGGAGAGCUUGCUCUCUGGGUGGCGAGUGGCGGACGGGUGAGGAAUACAUCGGAAUCUACUCUGUCGUGGGGGAUAACGUAGGGAAACUUACGCUAAUACCGCAUACGACCUACGGGUGAAAGCAGGGGACCUUCGGGCCUUGCGCGAUUGAAUGAGCCGGUGUCGGAUUAGCUAGUUGGCGGGGUAAAGGCCCACCAAGGCGACGAUCCGUAGCUGGUCUGAGAGGAUGAGCAGCCACCCUGGAACUGAGACACGGUCCAGACGCCUACGGGAGGCAGCAGGGGGGAAUAUUGGACAAUGGGCGCAAGCCUGAUCCAGCCAUACCGCGUGGGUGAAGAAGGCCUUCGGGUUGUAAAGCCCUUUUGUUGGGAAAGAAAUCCAGCUGGCUAAUACCCGGUUGGGAUGACGGUACCCAAAGAAUAAGCACCGGCUAACUUCGUGCCAGCCGCCGCCGUAA